CUGCUGAUUAGCCACGUCUGGAUGGGAUAACCGCUGAAAGCAUCUAAGCGGGAAGCCCACCUCGAGAUGAGAGCUCCCAUCCCCUCGAGGGAGUAAGGGCGGUCGGAGACUACGACCUUGAUAGGCGGCCGGUGCAAUCGCAGCAAUGCGUUCAGCUGAGCCGUACUAAUUGCCCGAGGUCUUGAUUUG
rnacentral:rRNA from 1 species